ACCUAAAUUUAAAAAAUAUACACACAAAUUACACUUUUAUAUUUUUAUUUUGUCAAUUCGGGUUCUAUUUAGAGCCAUACAAGCAUUUAUUCAUAAGUACUUACUAGGUUCUCGACUUUAUAUAUGAAUAUAUGUAUAUAAUUUAAUGAACGUGAUAGCUUUAACUAAAUGUUUUUAAGAAAAUUAGUGGACGCCAUGUGCUUCCCUCUACAACAUGGUACACUGCACAACUACAAAUUUACUUAGCACGGCGUGUUCAUUUGCGUUGUUUUCUACAAGUGCUCUCAAAGGUAAAAUUUGAGGUCGAUGGCAAAUACUGCUUCCAAGAUGUGCAACCCAUGAACAAUUAUGCAAACAAGUAAAAUACCAUGUAAGAAUAAUAUAUGGAAUAGAGAGGGGACCUUCAGAGUCAUGGAGAGUGGCUUUGUGUUGCUUACGACGGCGACGACGGUCAGUGUUAUCCAUUAAUAUUGGAGACAGUAAGAAAAAGCCGAGCUAAUGAAAUUGAGAUUUGAGGUUUAGUUGGAGAAUGCAAGAAAAGAUAUAUGUGAGAGAUGAGAGUUUAUAAAGAGAAUAUAAGAGAGGAGGAGAGAGGGGGAGAGGAGGAAGUAUCCAACGAACAGCCUUUGCAAACUAAUAGUAAGAAGUGUUGUGUGGUCUUGUUGACUCUUAGCCUUUGUGUAGACUUGUCGUUGCCACUCGUAUACACAUUGAGAUGAAUUCUCUUAAUUCAAAACUUUAAACCUUCUUUCUUUUUUUAUAUUCAAAACUUAUAAGUUUUAACCUUC